UCGAGGAGUGAGCGGAGGAGCAGGAUUAGGAGAUGCCCAUUGUGGCCUAGCAGCUGAUGUCUCCCCGGUGGCUUCAUAAUAUGCCAGACUGCUUCUUGUGUGUUUGCAGCUUGCUAAACAUUCAUCAAAAUUAUGGUUCGCUUGCACCUUGUACUAGUAUGAAUUUUUGCCAUAUCCCACUUCAGGGCAUAAUUUUUUUUUGAAACGGCAGCGCACAAAUUAAGUUUUUUUUUUAUAUUGGAUCAAUAUUUGUAUGGUUGACUUCGACAGAACCUUUUACAAUCAGCUACAUAGUAUGGUAAAUCACUAAACUGUAAUGCUUCAGUCUCCCUGUGUUCUAAAAAUAAAAUGCUUGGAACUUUUAACUUAUCAAGCAAUGACUUUAUUUACUCAUAUGUGUAUUGUUUGAUUCGGAGGCUAACAAUAACUUUUGACCAACUAUUGGGAGACCACUAUCUUAUCUUAGAAACAGAAGUAUUAUUAACUUUUGACAAACUAUUGUUAAGUACACUAUUGGGAGUCUUGAGCCAUGUUUGUGUUGUUAGGGGCAUGAAUUUUUUUUCUCCCGUUGCAACGCAUGGGCAUAUAUUAGGUGGCAUCGCUGGUCCGUGUAAAACGGGUUUAAACUUGGCGAAGCUAUUGAACAACACUCUUGCUUUCUUCUGUUAGGACCCUUUAUCAAUCAUUGAGCCACGCCAAGUUUUUGAGAUGGUAAUGAAGCCUGCCACAUUAAAUUUGUCCCUCCCCUUGGUUCUUUGUUAUUUAUUCUUUUGAAUUCCUGAAUUUUCUCUGCAAAGUAAGUCUUGCUUUGCCAGAAGAUUGAACUGUUUCUUUUCAGCUACGAUCAUCUAAUCUCAUAUAUGUGUUCAUUUGAACUUAUUUACUCUUUUGACUGUUGAUUUGGUUUGCUUUGCCUGAAGAUUGAACUGUUUCUUUUUACUGUUGAUUUAUGAACUCCAAGUACUGAUGUGCAUAAUUAAGCAUCUGUUCAUCAGGUGUCAUUGUAUAUGGACAAGUCUGCAGGGGUUUGCCAGUCGGACUUCCAUGAUUGCAAAUUGUCGUUCCUGCAAAUUAUAUGUGAUCACGAUCUUUUUGUUGAGAUGACUGACCAGCAAUAUUGUUCAGAGACUUUGGUCGUCCUCCACAGCGGGAUGCGACCUCCCUGGAGCAGCGGGUCAGGCGCAUCAUCGGAGGGGGAGAAGAUCUUGUUAUCUACAACAACGUUGAGUGAACCGCCGUCGAACUGAAGCGCGCCUCCUAUAGCUGCGACCCUGUGUUGGCCCUGCCCGCGUACGUCCGCUAAGACCGGAAACAGAGCAGAAAAGGAGUUCAAAUGUCCUCUCUCUGUUUUUCCUCCCUCUAGGAGGGCGUUGCCGGAGCAGUUAAGCCAUGCGGAGGUUUGAAAAUGGCACAGGAGGCGGCCUAAGGGUGGCACGGCGUACAAUCCCUCUACUGUCAUUUUAUAUCUCUGAAUUUUUUUUGCUGCAUGCGCAGGUGUUUCAGGCAGAAACAGUAAUAGCAUCGACUAGGAGGAGCAAGACAAGAAGCAACGACAACUACCAUUGCUGGCUAAGCUACCUACUACGAUGCCCGCCUCUCUUUGCAAUGGCCAAAGCACACAACAAUCCACAGUUUGGUGAAUUUUCCCCCCACUUUGGUGACAUGGGACGGAUUGUGGGCAACAACAUUUUAGAAGAAUCAGUAGUAGAAACGUGAAUGUUAAAGCCAAUGGGUUAGAAAACUAUAAGGAUACUUGAUUUGUUUCCAUGUCUACCUUUCAGUAUUCAGCCUUGCGAGAAAAGGUGCCGCAGGAUAGAAGCUUGACAUAGGUGAAUCAGAAUUCAAAAGAUCAAUGGAAGUUUGCUUAUGAAAGUAAAA